rnacentral:misc_RNA from 1 species
GAAAUGCGAUAAGUAAUGUGAAUUGCAGAAUUCCGUGAAUCAUCGAAUCUUUGAACGCACAUUGCGCCCUCUGAUAUUCCGGGGGGGCAUGCCUGUCCGAGCGUCAUUGCGAACCCCUCAAGCACGGCUUGUGUGAUGGGCCCUCCCGCGUCUUGGUCGUCAAGACGGGCCCGAAAUGCAGUGGCGGCUUCGCGGUUAUCCGAUCAGCCAGAGCGUAUGGGGACUUUCUCUCUGUCACACGCCCGCGGCGCGGACCGACGCCUGUCGACCUUUAUUCAUCUUUUUCUCGGUUGACCUCGGAUCAGGUAGGGAUACCCGCUGAACUUAAGC